rnacentral:misc_RNA from 1 species
GAUGAAGAACGCAGCGAAAUGCGAUAAGUAAUGUGAAUUGCAGAAUUCAGUGAAUCAUCGAAUCUUUGAACGCACAUUGCGCCCGCCAGUAUUCUGGCGGGCAUGCCUGUUCGAGCGUCAUUUCAACCAUCAAGCCCCAGGCUUGUGUUGGGGUCCUGCGGCUGCCGCAGGCCCUGAAAACCAGUGGCGGGCUCGCUGUCACACCGAGCGUAGUAAUACAUCUCGCUUUGGACGUGCGGCGGGUUCUUGCCGUUAAACACCCCCCUUCUCAAGGUUGACCUCGGAUCAGGUAGGAAUACCCGCUGAACUUAAGCAUAUCAAUAAGCGGAGGA